rnacentral:lncRNA from 1 species
AUGUCUCUUAAGAAAGUGAUGGUGAUACCAAAGGAAGAAUACUUAUUACUUCUUGACUUUGAUAAUGAAGAAGAUGACAUAAAUGUUUUGGAGGAGGCUCUUUCUGAGGUCAAUACAAUAAAGAGCCCAGCAUUUGACAAAGAUGAGAAUAUGUCGCCUCACAUAGAAGCAGAUGAAGAUAUGGGGGAUGAACUAGACAGUAUGUUGGAUAAAUCU